GGCAGGGAGCGACCGGCCACCGCACGCGGCGAUCGCCGCGCAGCGAGGAAAGUCCCCCCACCCGCCGGGCAGGCGACCGGGCGCAAGCCCGGAGCGGGAGACCGCUGGCGCUGGAACAGCAACGACACGUCCCGUCCCGAGCGAUGAGGCGCGCGACCCGACCCGCGAGGGAAGGAAGCUAACCCGCCGAGCGCGAGGCACUACGUGCCUCGGAACGGGCGAGCGGGCGCUGCCCGCGAGUCGACGGACGGGGAUCGAUGGAACGGCGAAUCCUCGCCGGUGCAAGUCCGCGCCACGGCGGCGCGAGCCGCCACGGUAGCCCGGCGUGCGGCGCGGACGCUCAGCCGAAUGCCGGUAUCGGGGCCGCCGCGGCCCCGACGACAGAAGGGGGCUUACGACUCUCAGCC
rnacentral:RNase_P_RNA from 1 species